CUGGGCUUCAGACUUCAUCCAAUCGGGGAUGAUGCUCAUUCGCUAUUAUAGUCUAAAAACAUUGCAUCAAGCAAAUGAGGUGCUGAACUCAUGGUUGAUCCCACGUGCUUUUAUCUCGCCCAUAUUACUCUAUUAGGCCGGUAAUAGGAACCAGAGCUAGUAAAGACUCAAGUGCGGAGAGCAGCAUCUAGGAAUCUCUCCACUUGGGUGUAAAUUACAGAGCUGCCUGGGGUGUUCUCUACCCUCUCUCACUGGCACCUUUCCCUGUUUCAUCUACACACACACACACACACACACACACACACACACACAUGCACACGUACGAGACAAUGACUAUUACCCGACACACCUGGGUUCUGGGCCCCACAAUCUUCUUAAUAUCUUUUAAAUCUUCACAUAAGGUAUGCCUUCCAUAGGGCUUACAGUACCAUUUGCUCUAAUAAACUCUUUUGGCAGAGGUGCAUGCAAGCUGCUUCCGUGGCCCCCGGAGAGAGGAACGUAAGGCGGAGGGUGAGGCAUCCCAAAAUAUGAGGAUAAAUCGCAGGUUGCCUGAAGAUGCGGUGAGGGAAAUGCUGGCCGAUGUGUGCAAACGGUCCAGAGCAGGAACAUCACACACACUCCAGCCCCAGGUGACAUCUGCUGGAAUAUUUACAGAGAGAGGCGACGUUCAGAAUGAAAUACUACUUCCUGCACAGUAAGCACUUGAAAAGUUUCUCUUCUGACUGACAUGGAAAAGUGGGAUAGAUCUCGGAGAAGCGUUGAUGUUCCCAUCCAGAAGAAUUCCAGCACCCCCUAAUGUCACAAUGGAGUUACUGAAGUGCUCAACUCUCAACAGCACAACCGUUUAAAAGCAAAAACAGCCAAGAGUUACUUGCAUUUCCAAACUCUGGUGGAAGCUGAGAGGAACAAUGUUACAGUAAUUGUCAAUAGUGCCGCCAAAAGUUUUAAAGUUGAAAUGGAGCAGUGAGUAAUUUGGCUAAAUCGGUUUCAUUUAUGUGGGAGUACACAAAGCUAGAAAUGUACCCUCGAGGUGCAAUAAGUCAUUUCCAUGUUUUAAGUUUGUUUUAAGUGCUCACACUGAGAGAGGAAUGAUGUGUUAUGGCCCCGAGGUAAAGAGACAAACUUCCUGCACAUGUUCUCUGAGGAGACGAGAACUUCCUGAGGUUAAAGGUCAACACUGGCUGUGUUUGGAAUGAAACACUUGCUUACUAAUGACUGAAUUCUGCUUACAAUAUGAAAAGCAUCGGUAUUUAAAAAGUAGUGUGCAUAACUGUCAUGUUUUUAAUACAAUUCUAUGCAGUCCAGUCAAUAAUAAUAAGACAAAAUUGCUGAUAUAUUAAUGCACAAAUAGUAAUGUAGCAGUAUGCUUUCUAAACAUAUCCAGGAUGAACGAUACAAUGAACAUUAGUCCUCUACUUCAGCAGCAUCUUUGGGGCAUUUGUUAGUCAUUGUUACAUUUGGCAUAUUUAGUCUUUCUUUCUGUCCUUAUUUGGCUUUGAACGUGUUUGGCAUAUUCUCUGUUUAACUAACAGCUUGAGGGACUCGAUUUGGAGAAGUGUAAUAUAAUUAUGAGCUUAUUAAUAUGUGUGUUUGCGGGUGUUGUGAGAAAUCUGGUAGACAUUGUCAUUU
ensembl:lncRNA